rnacentral:rRNA from 1 species
UACGUAGGGCGCAAGCGUUUGUCCGGAAUUAUUGGGCGUAAAGAGCUCGUAGGCGCUUGUCGCGUCUGUUGUGAAAGCCCGGGGCUUAACCCCGGGUCUGCAGUGGAUACGGGCAGGCUAGAGGCAGGUAGGGAGAGUCGGAAUUCCUGGUGUAGCGGUGAAAUGCGCAGAUAUCAGGAGGAACACCAAUGGCGAAGGCAGCACUCUGGGACGGUACUGACGCUGAGACGCGAAAGCGUGGGGAGCAAACAGG